GUCGGAUCGGCUCGCUACUGCUGCUCCCGACUGCACGCAAGGCUUCAGUACUAGCAUGUGUCUAUGACUACGACUAUGACUACAAGCCACAGUUGUUAUGGGGAUAUCAAGGAAAGUGAUGCGCAGUGUCCCCACAAGGGGAUACCCAUGGUCACAAGUAGCAAAUGCUACUGAAUGAGAACUGAACAGCUGCACCAGGCAGAGCCCACAGAUGCAAACAAACUCACUUGGGAAAGAUAAUCACACAUCCUGAGAAGGUCAAAGAGGCCACAGCUGCCACUGGGGAUACAGUCAUGUCCAUCAGCCAGAGGAUCUGCAAUGGAGGAUACCUCAAGUCAUCAAGGGAGACCAAGGGACCCAUUUUACUGGUGCAAUGAUACAGCACUGGGCAGAAGAAAAUAACAUUGAAUGGCGAUUGCACCUGCCAUAUAAUCCAACAGAGGCGAGCCUCAUUGAACAUUAUAAUGGUAUUCUUCAGGCUGCCCUGAAGUCCCAGGGGUGGACAAAGAGACUAUGAAACCCUGCAGGAUUUGAAUGAAAGACCUUGAGACGGCAGACCCAGUGCCCUGACAGUGCUACAGACAACAUGGACCUCCCUGCUUAGGAUCCAAAUUACGGGCACUGAUAAUCAGGUAAGACCCCAGAUUGGCAAUGAAAAUAAUCUUCUGCUGCCUGCCCCUGAGAAUUUACAUCUGGGCACCCAUAGAAUAAAAUAGCCUUGGAAGGUGCAGGUAGGACCUAAAUGGUGUGGGCUACUUGCACCCUGGGGGAGAUUAUUGGAGGUGGGAGGCUCAGUAGUCCCUCCAGUAAUAGGUACAUGGCCUAUGGAUAUUGUGGUCAACACUCCAAUCUUCACUGCUAAAAGGACCUCCAUCAUGUCCCUAUGGCAGAU